rnacentral:piRNA from 1 species
UUUUCCGGUGGCGAUUCCUAA